AGCUCAGGAUCCAGAAUGCAUUUGAACAAUUCAUGCUAAAUUAAUAAAUGCACUUUAAUAUAGGCCCAUAUUAAUCCCAAAAUAACUAAACCUGUGGAAUUUGUAAAAUAAGAUGUUUAUGAAUGAGGACAUGGCAUUUUGACUUAGUUCUGAUUCCCCCCUUUCUGAAAGCAGAAUCUACAGUCUAUUUUCCCAUUGCUAGAUUUCAGAGGAGAGCCUGGUGUCACUUACAGCAGACAUUGCAGAUGCCUCAGCAUUUCGGAUGAAGACGUAACCAAGGAGCCUUUGAUUAGUAGUGAAAUUGUGGCACCCCAACAAUGGUGGAGUGGAAUAUCCUGCUACUCUGGAGGGGUGAUGGCUCAGGGUCAAGACUGAACUAAUUAGAAAAAGAAAUGCACUCCAGGAAUAUCAAGUCCAAAACGAAGCUCUUCAAACCAUCUGGGAAGAGAAAACAGCAUGACAAGGAAAGGUAUAUUUGUCUGAUCCCAGGAAUCAAUAUAAACAUCCAUGAUAACCCCACCUAUUUUUUAAAUAUAUGAUUUGGAUGAAACAAGAGAAAGAGACUGAUUGUUGCUGAGUCCCUGCUGCAGUCCCGACACAGCUGGAGAUGCCCUGCUCCCCUGCUCCCCUGCUCCCCCGCUCCCCCGCUCCCCCGCUCUCCUGCUCUCCUGCUCUCUUUAUUUUGUUGAUGCUCAUGAGGACCCUGAUGUCUGAGGAAGAAGGUUCCCGUCCAGCUCUGCCCCUGGUGUGUCACGUGCCGGCCUUGUCAACGCACAGGAGAACCUGACAGGAGCAUCCUUGAAAUGAUUGACUCAACCAUGAGAGAAACACUGUAAAUAUUCUCAGAUGCAAACUCACAGUACCAGCUUCACAGAACACCUGCAGGUGCAAGUAACUAAAAAUCCAGCUCAAUUUUACUUUAAAUACAAGGGAAUUUAUUGACUCAGGUGGGUAGUUCAGAAGGAGGCCAGGCUUCAGUGUGAAUCUGAGCACAGAAGCUCAUGGAUGCUACCAGGACUCAGUCUCUUCCCAAUUUUCUGCUCUGCCUUCAGUGAAGUCAGAAUAAUUCUGCAUGUGGCAAAAUCUCCAGGAACAAUUUCUGAGGUUGCAUUCUUCACCAAAGAGGGAGCAUGAACAAGCACACCCUUGUUCCUAACAACCUAGCGCAACUUGUAUUUGACUCUAAUUGGAACAACUCAGACCCCGCCCAUCCCAAAGUCCAUUAGGGGGACCAAGGGAGUGCUGUGUGGCACCUGGCAUGAGCCUCAGUUAUGCACUCACUUUGGAACCAGUAACUGUGACACAGGGUGAGACAGUGCUGGUUAAGUCAACCGGGACCCACCCCAUGUUUCAAACCACGUGACUGAAUAAUUCAGGGCUCUGUUAGGAAGGAGAAAGGGGGAUGCUUCUUAAAUAG